rnacentral:rRNA from 1 species
CUUGCUCCACCGGAAAAAGAAGAGUGGCGAACGGGUGAGUAACACGUGGGUAACCUGCCCAUCAGAAGGGGAUAACACUUGGAAACAGGUGCUAAUACCGUAUAACAAUCGAAACCGCAUGGUUUUGAUUUGAAAGGCGCUUUCGGGUGUCGCUGAUGGAUGGACCCGCGGUGCAUUAGCUAGUUGGUGAGGUAACGGCUCACCAAGGCCACGAUGCAUAGCCGACCUGAGAGGGUGAUCGGCCACAUUGGGACUGAGACACGGCCCAAACUCCUACGGGAGGCAGCAGUAGGGAAUCUUCGGCAAUGGACGAAAGUCUGACCGAGCAACGCCGCGUGAGUGAAGAAGGUUUUCGGAUCGUAAAACUCUGUUGUUAGAGAAGAACAAGGAUGAGAGUAACUGUUCAUCCCUUGACGGUAUCUAACCAGAAAGCCACGGCUAACUACGUGCCAGCAGCCGCGGUAAUACGUAGGUGGCAAGCGUUGUCCGGAUUUAUUGGGCGUAAAGCGAGCGCAGGCGGUUUCUUAAGUCUGAUGUGAAAGCCCCCGGCUCAACCGGGGAGGGUCAUUGGAAACUGGGAGACUUGAGUGCAGAAGAGGAGAGUGGAAUUCCAUGUGUAGCGGUGAAAUGCGUAGAUAUAUGGAGGAACACCAGUGGCGAAGGCGGCUCUCUGGUCUGUAACUGACGCUGAGGCUCGAAAGCGUGGGGAGCAAACAGGAUUAGAUACCCUGGUAGUCCACGCCGUAAACGAUGAGUGCUAAGUGUUGGAGGGUUUCCGCCCUUCAGUGCUGCAGCUAACGCAUUAAGCACUCCGCCUGGGGAGUACGACCGCAAGGUUGAAACUCAAAGGAAUUGACGGGGGCCCGCACAAGCGGUGGAGCAUGUGGUUUAAUUCGAAGCAACGCGAAGAACCUUACCAGGUCUUGACAUCCUUUGACCACUCUAGAGAUAGAGCUUCCCCUUCGGGGGCAAAGUGACAGGUGGUGCAUGGUUGUCGUCAGCUCGUGUCGUGAGAUGUUGGGUUAAGUCCCGCAACGAGCGC